UGAGACAUUUUCAUUAUAUACUCCCUUAUAUUUCUUUUCCCUCUAUAUCUCAUGGAAACAAGGUUUGCCAAAAUUGUACAAACUUCGAUCUUAUCACUCUUAGCAAAAUGUUGCUCGAUUGACUCAUGAAAUCUCUAAUUGUAGUGAUCUGUAACUAUCGUGAUCUAAUCGGAUAUAAUGCUCUUAAAAAUUUCUAGAAUGGACUAUUGCAUUACUAACAAACUUAUAUGAUU
rnacentral:lncRNA from 1 species